rnacentral:rRNA from 1 species
UACAGAGGUCUCGAGCGUUAGGCGGAAUCACUGGGCUUAAAAGCGUGUGUAGGUGGAUGCCUAAGUACCUUGUGAAAUCCCACAGCUUAACUGUGGAACUGCUUGGUAUACUGGGUGUCUUGAGUCACUCAGGGGCGAGCGGAACAAAUGGUGGAGCGGUGAAAUGCGUAGAUAUCAUUUGGAACGCCAAUGGUGAAAACAGCUCGCUGGGGGUGUACUGACACUGAGACACGAAAGCCAGGGGAGCGAACGGGG